CCUAGUAACGGCGAGUGAAGCGGCAACAGCUCAAAUUUGAAAUCUGGCCCUCGGGUCCGAGUUGUAAUUUGUAGAGGAUGCCUUUGGCGCGGUGCCUUCCGAGUUCCCUGGAACGGGACGCCUUAGAGGGUGAGAGCCCCGUACGGUUGGACACCAAGCCUCUGUAAGGCUCCUUCGACGAGUCGAGUAGUUUGGGAAUGCUGCUCUAAAUGGGAGGUAAAUUUCUUCUAAAGCUAAAUAUUGGCCAGAGACCGAUAGCGCACAAGUAGAGUGAUCGAAAGAUGAAAAGCACUUUGAAAAGAGGGUUAAAUAGCACGUGAAAUUGUUGAAAGGGAAGCGUUUGCGACCAGACCUCUCCCCGGCGGAUCACCUGGUGUUCUUCACCGGGGCACUUCGCCGGGGCGGAGGCCAGCAUCGGUUUCCGCAGGGGGAUAAAAGCUCAGGGAACGUAGCUCCUUCGGGAGUGUUAUAGCCCUCUGCACAAUACCCCUGCGGGGACCGAGGACCGCGCCCUCGGGCAAGGAUGCUGGCGUAAUGGUCGCCAACGACCCGUCUUGAAACACGGACCAAGGAGUCGAACAUUUGUGCGAGUGUUUGGGUGUUAAACCCUCACGCGUAAUGAAAGUGAACGGAGGUGAGAGCCCCUAGGGGCGCAUCAUCGACCGAUCCUGAUGUCUUCGGAUGGAUUUGAGUAGGAGCACAACUGUUCGGACCCGAAAGAUGGUGAACUAUGCGUGGAUAGGGUGAAGCCAGAGGAAACUCUGGUGGAGGCUCGCAGCGGUUCUGACGUGCAAAUCGAUCGUCAAAUCUGCGC
rnacentral:rRNA from 1 species